AUACGGAGGGUGCAAGCGUUGUUCGGAAUUACUGGGCGUAAAGCGCGCGUAGGUGGUCUGUUAUGUCAGAUGUGAAAGUCCACGGCUCAACCGUGGAAGUGCGUUUGAAACUGGCAGACUUGAGUACUGGAGGGGGUAGUGGAAUUCCCGGUGUAGAGGUGAAAUUCGUAGAUAUCGGGAGGAAUACCGGUGGCGAAGGCGACUACCUGGCCAGAUACUGACACUGAGGUGCGAAAGCGUGGGGAGCGAACAGGAUUAGAUACCCCGGUAGUCC
rnacentral:rRNA from 1 species